GAUCUACUGCCUCACAGAUAUUGACCCAGACCACCGGAAGCUCAGCCAGCUGGAGGCCAUGAUCCGCUUCCUAAAAGGGGAGGACCCAGAGCUGGAAUGUGAUGAGGAGCUGGUGCGGGAGGUGCUGUUUGACGCAGUGGUGACUGCCCCCAUGGAAGCCUACUGGACAGCGCUGGCUCUCAAUAUCUCUGAUGAGUCAGAGCAAGGGGUGGACCUGGCAUUCCUGGNNNNNNNNNNNNNAUUCCUGGGCACCCGAGCUGGCCUCCUUCGAAGCAGCUUGUUCGUGGGCUCCGAGAAGGUGUCUGACAGGAAGUUCCUGACACCUGAAGAUGAGGCAAGCAUUUUCACAAUGGACCAUUUCCCUCUGUGGUACCGCCAGGCCUCUGAGCAGCCCCCUGGCAGCUUUGUCUUCAACCUACGCUGGGCAGAUGGACCAGAAGGUGCAGGUGAGCCAGUGGCAGUAACAGCGAGCACAGCAGUAGCCGUGACAGUAGAGGAGAAGAAGACAGCCAUUGCUGCAGGUAGGAGUCACCCUCUGUGCCACUGGAGCCAGGAAGCUGUGGGCCCAUGGCAAGAAUAAGGCCCACGGUCAUAGCAGGAGGGCCCCUGCGUGUGACGUGCUGGGCACCAGUCUCCAGCUGUAAGUUGUCCCAGGUGAACUCUGGGGAGAAGGAAAAUGAAAUCUUCCUAAGCCAUUUUGUUUGUGAAACCUUAGAGCUCAAAGAAUUUGUGAAAUGAGUAAAAGGAAGCCCACAGAGGCUAAGAAAUCAUCCCAUGUCACAUAGGCCAUGGACUGCAACCCAGACCCUCUUCCUCCCCUUACCUGUAGCUGCCCUCUUUCACGGCCUUGGGUUCAAGAACUGGACUUGUGACUCAAACCCCUAAAGCAAGACCUCCAUGUGUGUAUUCAAUCUGAACUUGUCCUCCGGGUGACCCAAAGCAGGUGAUGGUAUUGGGCUCCAUUUUACAGGUGAAAAAACUGAGACGCAGAAAAGUUACUGGCCCCAAAUUCCACAGCUAAUAAUGAACCUAGGGUUAGAACUCAGACUGUAUCUCUUUCAAGCCCAAGUUCACUAUCUUUUACUGCAGGUUGCCCCAGGUCAUGGGAUGAGCUAUCCAAUGACCCUCACAAGUCUCCCCUGACUUUGUAGCUUCUUCAUGCCUAAAAAGUC
rnacentral:lncRNA from 1 species